GAACAGUCGCCGGCGGAACGGGAAUCAUUGAUGUUGAUUAUUACGGGGACUUUCUCCACUGUUUG
rnacentral:tRNA from 1 species